rnacentral:rRNA from 1 species
AUACGUAGGUGACAAGCGUUAUCCGGAUUUACUGGGCGUAAAGGGCGUGUAGGCGGUCUUGCAAGUCAGAAGUGAAAUUCCUGAGCUCAACUCGGGCGCUGCUUCUGAAACUGCCGGACUUGAGUGCUGGAGGGGAUAGCGGAAUUCCUAGUGGAGCGGUAACAUGCGCAGCUAUUAGGAAGCACACCGGUGGCUAAGGCGGCUGUCUGGACAGAAACUGCCGCGGAGGCGCGAAAGCGUGGGGAGCAAACAGGAUUAGAUCCCCGGGUAGUCCACGCCGUAAACGAUGAAUACUAGGUGUAGGGGGUAUCGACUCCCUCUGUGCCGCAGUUAACACAAUAAGUAUUCCGCCUGGGGAGUACGGCCGCAAGGUUGAAACUCAAAUGAAUUGACGGGG